CUACCUUUAUUUGCUUUAGUAUAUGUCUAGGUUUGGAGUAGUUUCAUUUAUCUCUUAAUUAAGCAUGGUGCUUAGUUUAGCAAUGAUGAUCUUACUUCCAAAGGAUUUUAAAUUAAGCAUGAUGCUUAGGUUAAAAUUCCCUCCUAAAUCAAAUUAGACAUGGUGUCUAGGUUGAUCUUUGAGCCGAUAGUAUGCUAUAGUAGAUAUUGGAUAUUUUGUUGGACUAACCCCUGCAGGAAAACUUUCACUAUCAACUUGGGAAGUCCUGAGAUAAACUCACAUUGGAGACAAAGAGAGUGACACAUGAAGUUUAAAAAUUUACACAAGGAAGGCAUAGCUCACAAGAGAUGAUCCAUGGAGGGUGCCACAAACACGAUGCACAACCGCUAAGAAAGGAAAGCUUCCACAAAGUGAUACCGUACCAUCACUCUUCAAGUAAGGUAACAUCUUAAAGUACUUGACUAUCACUUUUAUCAGUUUCUCCUUGGUUCUGGCGUUCACAUGAAUAAAAGAGACAAACAUGUAUGAUUUAUAACUCCAAAUUAACCAACCCAAUCGAUUCAACAUGUUUAGUCUUUCCACCUUUGUGAUUCCACACUCCUAAUCAUAUAAGCUAAAAUGUUGCACAUUCAAUCUUUGGAAGAUAUAAACAAAACAUAAAUAUAGAUAGAUUAUCUUUCCAUUAGGUUGAGCGAUCUGAUCUGACGAAUGUUUUAAAUGCUACACUCAUGAUCUUAUUAUCCAUCAACUGUGUCUUGCUCACUAUGCUUAAGGAUAAAGAACAGCAAAUACACUUUUGGUUCUGUUGGUGUUUUCCACCAACAGGGCCCAUGCACUUGAUCUCUGCCUUGUCUCUAUGAGCAGGUACAUUUCGAGCAAAAUUUGAAGUUCUCUCUCAAGUUUAGACAUAACUGUUAUAAUUUAAAGCUUGCUCUAGAUCUAAACUUGUGGGAUGAAAACUUGAUCUGAAAUCUAUGUUGUUAACGGAUAUGAUAUGGGAAGGUUGAGCUGCUGUUUAUCUAUUCCUAUAGAUGCUAGAAUUCUGGAGAAUUUUAUCUUUGAAAAAAUCUUUAAAAUGUUGCAUGAUGAGUUCCUGUAUGAUGAAAGUUUAAAUUCCUACCACAGCCAUAUAUACAUGCUUGCUAGACUUUGAGCCACACAUUUAUUAUUUACUGCUUAUGAGCAUUGAGUGUGGUCAAGCUGUGUAGACCCUUAGGAGCUUGUCAUGUGGUUAAAUCAAGAUUCACUUGCACGUUCACUCAUAUAUAUGCUACUUCUACUCCGGAAGUACCAUCCACAUAUAUCCAUCCAUUUCCAUCUCCAGAAUCACCUAAAAAUAUUCUACUCCUAAUUCGGGAGAGAAUAGCCAAAAACAUCUGUGUUUUUCCCUUGUGAAAUAAAUGCUCAAGUUAUCUUGCUACUACCACUUGCUAUAUUAUCUUAAGAGAUGAGUGCUCUGAAAAAAAAGAGAAGAAAAAAAAGAGAAAAGAAAAAAAACAAUAAACGAGGAAAUAAAAAGGGGCAAGUGCCCGGAACCUCGAAAGAAAAGAAAAAGAGUGAGACGAGAGGUAAAAAUGGACAAGUGUCCGACAGUAGAAUUAGGGGUUACAGGAUACCCAUCUGAGAGAAAAGAAAAAGAAGAGCAUCUCAUUCUCCUCAUAAAGUUUCAAAAAGCAAGGAAGGUAUGUAUCCCCUCAAAAGAGCAAAAGUAGAAUUAGACUUUCACCAUUGUUAUCACCAUCAUCACCAUACACUAUUCAUUCGCCACACAUGCACAUCUUGAUUUGGCUUAUUGAUUUGUUUCUUUGGAUCCAUGGUUUGACUAUACAAUAAAUGUCUUGUAAGUAUGUAUAUUUUAUCUCCCACCUAUGAGCUCCAGAUAUUAAAGCCUUAUUAGAGUAGGGUGAGAGAGAAGACAAUGUCACUAUCCCUUAUACCACAAAUACCACAUAUUUUGAGAGAAGGCAUAUACCAUCACUACCUUGGUAAGGAUCCAGAAAUACCACAAAAGAGAGAUAUGAGAGAGUCAUACAAAGGAAUCUCUGAGUUUUAUUUGAAAAUCUGCAAAAACUCCAGAGCUAUAGCUGAUCAAGAAUAAGCGACAUGGCACUUGACUGGACUGUUCUAUCUUUUAACCACUCAAGACAGAAGUGACGGUUACAAGUCCCAUGGUGAAAGGUAAAGUAAGUAAGUUUUAGUUCUUGACAGUUUACUCUAACUCAGAGAUGAGAACUUAUUUAAAAAGCAUGUGUACCGUCAAAUUUUUAAGAUAUUGCAACAACUUCUGAUCCAUUGCUGAGUCUAUCCUUGCUCAGGGACGAGCAAGAGGUAAGGUUGGGGGAGUUUGUUGACGGUCCUUAAGUAUCAAAUUUAAUUAUCAAAUAAACAAAGAAAUGGAUCCAAAUGAAAUCAACAUCUAGACUUAGGGUUUUAUCUGACAGAAUUCCACGAGUUUUGGUGUUUGUCUAUUUCUGCAGGGGGUUAUCAGGAAAUAAGGAAGAAAGACCCACACAUCGGGAUUACAUAGAGAUAUCAACAUGCCGUGCAAUUAUCUUACAUCUAGAAGACUCUAGAAGCCAUGGGAAGGAAGCGGAGACCGAACGGAGUCAGGGACAGGGCGCCCGCCCAAGUCCUUAGGGCGCCCGCCCACCUUUUUCGGCCAAUCACGCUCAAUCUCGUGGAUUAUGCUCCACCGACCUAAAGGAUCAAGAAUAACCGUUCAAUCAAUGUCAGUUUGAUCCGACGGUCCAGGUUCACUUGAGGGGACUAUAAAACCAGACCCCCUGGCCCCUGGAGGAGGCACCCCUUGAUCAUUAUUCAUUAUUCAUAGAC
rnacentral:lncRNA from 1 species